GCUUAACACAUGCAAGUCGAGCGGUAAGGCCCUUCGGGGUACACGAGCGGCGAACGGGUGAGUAACACGUGGGUGAUCUGCCUCGYACUCUGGGAUAAGCCUGGGAAACUGGGUCUAAUACCGGAUAUGACCACGRAUCGCAUGGUUUGUGGUGGAAAGAUUUAUCGGUGCGAGAUGGGCCCGCGGCCUAUCAGCUUGUUGGUGGGGUAAUGGCCUACCAAGGCGACGACGGGUAGCCGACCUGAGAGGGUGACCGGCCACACUGGGACUGAGACACGGCCCAGACUCCUACGGGAGGCAGCAGUGGGGAAUAUUGCACAAUGGGCGAAAGCCUGAUGCAGCGACGCCGCGUGAGGGAUGACGGCCUUCGGGUUGUAAACCUCUUUCGACAGGGACGAAGCGCRAGUGACGGUACCUGUAGAAGAAGCACCGGCCAACUACGUGCCAGCAGCCGCGGUAAUACGUAGGGUGCGAGCGUUGUCCGGAAUUACUGGGCGUAAAGAGCUUGUAGGCGGUUCGUCGCGUCGAUUGUGAAAACUUGCAGCUCAACUGCAAGCUUGCAGUCGAUACGGGCGGACUAGAGUACUUCAGGGGAGACUGGAAUUC
rnacentral:rRNA from 1 species